UCCCUGGAGGACUAGUGGUUAGGCCGCGGUGCUCUCAUCGCCGUGGCCCGCGUUCGAUUCCCGGCCAGGGAG
rnacentral:tRNA from 1 species